UUUCCGUAGGUGAACCUGCGGAAGGAUCAUUCAUAAUAAGUGUUUUAUGGCACUUUUUUAAAUCCAUAUCCACCUUGUGUGCAAUGUCAGGGUUUAUUUUUCUCUCGAGAGGAUCAACCCCAAACAUCAACUAUAUCUCAACUCUUUGUCUGAAAGAUAUUAUGAAUAAAACAAUUCAAAAUACAACUUUCAACAACGGAUCUCUUGGCUCUC
rnacentral:misc_RNA from 1 species